rnacentral:rRNA from 1 species
CAGCAGUAGCCACGGGAAUACGUAGGUGGCAAGCGUUGUCCGGAAUUAUUGGGCGUAAAGGGCUCGCAGGCGGUUUCUUAAGUCUGAUGUGAAAGCCCCCGGCUCAACCGGGGAGGGUCAUUGGAAACUGGGAAACUUGAGUGCAGAAGAGGAGAGUGGAAUUCCACGUGUAGCGGUGAAAUGCGUAGAGAUGUGGAGGAACACCAGUGGCGAAGGCGACUCUCUGGUCUGUAACUGACGCUGAGGAGCGAAAGCGUGGGGAGCGAACAGGAUUAGAUACCCCAGUAGUCCCUGUCUCUUAUAC